GUGGAUCAUGUAGAGCACCACAAAGGUAAUAUUUUAGAAUAUGUGUAAAUUUUUCGUAUCAUUUAUCUCCGAUAUUAACUCUCCAUUUAUCCUUUUCCAGAUGUUUUCAAGCAAGAAAUCGAUAGAUUCGAAGAUGACGAAUACAACACAGGGAGCAAGAAAUGUGGCUGAUAGUAAGACCCCAAGAAGGCUCAUCAAGGGAAGCCAUGUCAUCUGGUGUGCGGUGGACCAGCUGAGAUGGGCUUUUCCCUUGAGUUAUCAUCACUAUUACUAACUAGCUAGAAUAAUAACCACUGUCUAUUGAAUAAGAUAUAUGAACAUAAUAAACCUAUAUAUUUAUACAGAGCUUUAAGGGGAGUAUAUAUUGACCUCUGACUAUUGAAUAAUUUUAGAUACAUGAUU
rnacentral:lncRNA from 1 species